rnacentral:lncRNA from 1 species
UACUUUAUCUCUUACUAAGAAUCACAAUUUACUUUUCUUAUAACCACAAUAAUUUAUAUUAUUUCCUAUAUUCACACACCAAAAGAAAUAGUUGCUGAAUACAACAAUACACUUUACUCUACCAAGCAGUCAUUACUCAUAAAUAAACUCACUUCAUAUAGUAAUUCCACCAAUAUUAUUCAUUAUGAGAAAUACUCAUCACCAAUUAUUAUAGCAAUUCACACCAAAUCCUUCAAUAUUCAAAUCUUAUAAAAAUCAUGUAUAUCCAUUCCAUCAAGAAAAAUAUUUAUCUUAAUAAUUAUAAGAAAUUCUACUAACCAACAUCAUGUAAAUUUCAUCAAAUACAUAUACUAAUUCAAUACUCUAGUUAAAUGGAUUCUAAUGUCCUCAAAUUCAAAUCAUUUAGUUCUCUUAUUAAAUAAUUAGCAACUCAUUCUCAAUUCCGCAGGCAC